rnacentral:lncRNA from 1 species
GGGGGAAGGGGUUAUCGUUCUGCUCACCCUGGGGUCUGGAGGAGGCCUUCAGCAAUUGUGUGUUGAAUGAAUGUGUGGGCAACAGGCUUGUUCCCUGUGUUUUUAUUGAAAUGUCUGCUUCCUGUGCUAGCGCCCCCACCCCCUUCUUAAAACACUGUCAUAGCACCUGCAUUCUUCCUUCUAACUCAUAUCAAUUGUAACUUAUUAUUUCCAUGACUAUCAUCAUGUCACGGUUUAGUGACUUCUGCCCCUUGAGGCCAUAAGCUCCUGGCAGGCAGGAACUGGGCACACAGUCACAUCCCCAACGCCAGAGGGCUGAGAGCUCAGCACAUAGUCUGACAGAUUAUGGCAUCUGAGGGCUCAGGAGCCUUACAGAUCCCAUCCCAUUCUUUUGAGGACUCCAUGGCCUGAAGAAGAGAGUGACUUACCUGAGGUCACACAGUCAGCUAGAAGCAAAGCGAAAUGAAAACAACUUUUCUAACACUUUUCUCCAAGGUCACAUCAUACACGACCCUGAGGAAGCCCCUUCUGAAUUCUGAGGUCUCUAAGCCUUGGGGAGCCUGUGGGGUGAUCCCAGGGAUCUCUUUCUCAGCAAUGAUGGUGAUGAGGAACUAAGUCUUUCCCCCUCACUUUAGGAUAAUGGAGUGAGCGGCGCUAAACUCGCACCGACAGAGCGGGCUCCCCCGGCCUUAAUGAGAUAAUCAAUACUUGUUCUCGGCUUAAUUUCCAUCUAAUUGCUCUUUAACGACGCCGGAUAAUGGGCCGCCUCCUGUGAGGAGAGAGCUGGCUGGGAAUCCGACCCGCCUCGGCCUCCCGCCCCUCCUCCCCCGGGCCGGUGCCCUCGCGCAGGUGGGAUGGGGGCGCACCACGCUCCCCGUCGGGGCUGGAGCUCCAUCCGCCAGCCUCCUCCCCCCGCGCCGCCGCCUGCCUGCGGUGUUCUCGGCUUGGAAUGCGGGAUCCCCGUCAAGCUGCCGGGGUCUGGCCUCUGGGCCACUCACCUGACUGGCCCGCGGAACUAGGCGGUGCCCUCGCCCCCUGACGGCGCCUCAUCCUCCCUGCUGCCCGCGGAGCCAGAAAAUUGUCUUCAAGAAAAAGUGAGGAGCUGGCCCAGUGGCGCAGCAGUUAAGUUCGCAAGUUCUGCUUCGGUGGCCUGGGGUUCAUCGCAUCGGAUCCCAGGUGCGGACAUGGCACCGCUUGGCAAGCCAUACUGUGGUACGCAUCCCACAUAAAAAGUAGAGGAAGAUGGGCGCAGAUGUUGGCUCAGGGCAAGUCUUCCUCAGCAAAAGGAGGAGGAGUG